UUUCCCUUUUAAUUUUUCAUCCCUCAGCAUUUUACCUCCACCGUUGGAUCAACAUGAUCCAACGACCCCCGUUUUAUCCCAUUUAAACCUUUUCUUUUCUUUUUCUCCCCAAAAAUCUGGAUUCGUUGAUCAAUGAAAUCCAACGUCUCUCAUCCAGUCUCUCUGUUUAAUUAGCCAACCCCUUCCCAAACCCUAAUCAUUCCUUCAGAGAUCAGCCGCCUCUCUUUCCCCUUCGUCUCUCUUUUCUCUCCUCCUCUCACCAGCUGCUAAGGAGGACCACUUGGUUUGCUGUUCCGAAGAAGGUCAGUAGAUCACCGACCCGCUCCUUAAUUAUUUAAGUGUUCAUGUAUUAUUAUGUAGUUUCAUUGGUUUGGUAUUUUUCUGUUGAUUCUUCUUCAUGAUAUUCAUUGGUCAAAUGUGACCUUCAACUGUGUUUUGCUGCUUGUGUUAUUCUUUGUUUAAUUAAUUGAUAAAUCCUUCUAAAAUUAUGAUUACCUCCUAUGUUGUUGUUUCAGUCGAUAUUUUAUGAUUAGAUUUUGUUUUUUCUCAUAUUGAUAUUAUCACUAGGUGUAGUGCUUAACUAAAUGAAACAACAUUAUUAUGAUCCUUAUCCUGUUAACUUUCUAUAUUAAUCUUUGUGUUGGCAGCCUGUUUGAUCCCUGUUAUGGCUCUGUUAAUUAGGUGACACUUACUGAUUUCCAUGCUUAUAUUAUCAUAUUGAUGGAAUGAUACCUAUGAACCUUCAUGCCACCUUGUUUAAUCAACUAAGUGAUUGUUAUGCCUAUACUAUCAUAUUACUAUGUUGGAAAAAAAUUCUUACCAUGUUGCUUCUGUGAAUAGCUAAUUGAAUGAUCCCCUUGGUUCUCUUGCCUAUACCACCAUGUUAUGAUUUUCAUCAUGAUGUUUUGAUUGGUUAGUUGAAUGAUUCCCACUGUCAGUCAUGUUCAUAGUAUUAUGUUGUGAUCCAUCUGUUAGUUUAUCAUGGUAGCUUGAGUAAAUAGAUGUUAACUUGUAAAUUACAUAUCCACUCUACCUAGAUUAGUUGUGAAUAAGCAUUCUUGUCAUCUCAUUCCUAUAUGGUAUUUGAAAACUCUCCAUAGGAUCUUUCUACAAUGUGUGAAGACAUUGUUGGAUCUGGUAACUUAAACGAGUAUUAUUCAUCCUCAAUGUGCAUUAUCAUGUUUACAUGCAUGCCUAUAGGAUCUAAAUGGUGAGACUAGAAUUUGACCAUUCUACUAAUGUUUAAUUCUCUCAUAUGUUUUCACUAUUAGUAAUGACUCCUUUAAAAUAAUUUUGAGUAAGAUGCCAACAUAAAUUCUUAGUGUGACAUAAAAAUCUCAACUAUGUGCUUUUUGUUUGAUGUUAAAAGAAGCUGCUCUUAGGCUAUUUUGGUGUUCUAUAACUUAUUUGGAUAAUUGAAAAGACAACUCAGUCUGAUCAGAUUCCUAAAAAGCAUUAGAUCUCUGAUAAAGUUAGUAAAUUAGUGCAUAUGUGUUUUGCUAACUACUGAUGCCUUAAUAUUUGUAGUGGCAAUCUUGAAAUUGAAAUUGUAAGUACCAGAGCCUAUCUACAGGAGCAUAUAGUUAGUCAUUUGUAACCUCUACUCGAUUGUGUUUCAGUAGUGAUUCUCAAGAGUGUUCUGUAAGUGUUGUGCUACAUGAAAUGGUUUAGAACAAACCAUUAAGCCUUUGAAACUAUUAAAACUUUGAGAAUUCGCAUGUGGUGACCUAUCUUUAUAUAUUGUGUUCUGAUAAAUAGUUUUAAGAUCAAGCUUGUACUAGUUCUUGGUUGCGUAGUAUUUUUGUACUCCAAUGAUGACUGCAAUUCCUAAUAUGGUUGUUUGUUCCAAGUGGUUGGUAUUUCUGUAUGGCUGAAUCUUUGAAAGGUCUUAUGAUGAACCUUCUGUACUUAUUUGUUUCAUGCUGACUAUGUGAGACUGUCACGUUGAGAUUCCCUUGUAUCUAAACCUCUGUAGAAUAUUAAGGUUCAGUACUUACGGGUGUUUGGUGUGGGCUUGACUUUACCAUUAAGGGACCUCUCCCUGACACAAGCACUGCUCGGGGGCCCAAGAAACCCUCGUGAACUCUGAAGUGCUCGGGAUCCAUAGAGGAACCUUAUAAGUAAAUAUGGUUCACCCUAAGCCCAAAAUUGCAGACCUUAAUUAAUCUUCGAGGGAUUAGCACAAAAGAAAUUUAGCUUUGUUAUAUUAAGAUUAUGUUUAUUGUAAACUUUAUCCUAAUUCAUUUUAUUCUGCAUAUGCUAAUUAAUUCGUUCUCUUUUUCUUUGCAUGAUUGUUGGGCCUGCUGAAUUCAUUGGAAACUCAGGCUCAAGUUCAAAGAACUAGGUUACCCCCUUGCCGUAUGCUGAAGUUUGCUGCCGCUAGAGCCUAGCGGGGCCUAACUAAUUAGUCAGCCUAAUAUGAGAGUCCAAUUUUCUUUCCCUUCAUUUGAAGCGAUUAUUAUUGUUAUCUUAUUUAUGUAUAUAUACUAACAUUGAUAUUGGAUGCUUACCUAUUUUUACUUUAACCAUUUAGGAAGACUUUAGGCCAAUCAAACUAAUAAAGUAACUGUGACCUGAAGGGUAAUCGCUCUAAUAUUCAUAACAUUUUUUGGAAAUUGAAUGCCCUUUUAUACUAACUGUUUAACAAAUAAUGAUUCUUCUGUUUACUUACUUUUUUUCUAGUGAGUUUUUUUUUGGUUUUUAGGCCCUGGCAAAAAUUGAAUAAGCUUAAAUAAGAAUGUCCCUUUGAAAAGUUUAAAAACAAGUCGCCUAGUCAACUAAACAUCUAGACUGUUUUAAGUAAAAGAAGUAAGCGCGCCACACCUAGUUAGAUCUGAUUUUUCAAGAACAAAAC
rnacentral:lncRNA from 1 species